CACUCGCGCAGCCGCCUCCGCUCGCCCAACCCUCUCCCCGACCUCUCCCUCCCGUGCUAGAACCCUAGCCGCCGCCUCCCUCCCGCACUCGCGCCUCCCCCGCCUCGCCUCUCUCUCUCCCGCGCCUCCCAGCCCCGCCGCCGUCGUCUUCUCGCCCAGCCGGCCGCCGCCGCACGAUGCAGCGCCCAGAUCCACGGCGGGAUCGACGCGGCGUCGUUGACCUGAGCCACUACCGUCCUCGAGGUCCUCCCACCCCCUCUCGCCGUCGCGCCUUCCCCUUUCGCCGUCGCGCCGCUUCCCUCCUCCGCCCCUCCCUCGAGCCGCCGGUUGGCGCCUUCCCUCCCUGCCUCGCCUCUUCUCCUCUACGUCGCCUGGGUUGGAUGAACCCUAGCCGCCACUCCCCCUCUCCCCUUCUCAGCCGCGCUCUCCUCUCUCUUCCCCGCCUCCACUCGCGCCGCCACCCACCGGGAAGCACCACGGCUGCUGCUGCUCCUCAGGCGAGCUCGCACAUCAUCAUCGGGAGGCGAGGACGCUGCUGCUGCUCCGCUCGUGGACAUGGAGCCUUCCUCCCUGCUCGUCAAGGUGAUCUCUCACCCAUAUCCCCUCCUCCUAUUCUUCUUUUUCUUCUUCUCUAACCCCCAUCUCGUCUUCUCUCUAUUCUGUUGGUACAACGGCUAGCGACGGCAACACCGACAACCAAGGGAAGCUCCGGCGAGGUCUGCUCCUUCUCCACCUGUAGAGGAGCCUGCCAAAACACACACCAUGGAAUUGGAAGGAUUCAGUUCGGUACAACACCGUCGCCAUCAUUGUUGUGAUGAGCGCCUUGGCGCUGCUGCUUCUGUGUGGUGGCGCUGUUCGACACCCGCUACAAAACCAACGAGGGUCAAGGUGGACUUGAAAGAAUACAUGCAGCCACCUUUGUAACGCCAUUGGCUUUGUAGACUUCUUGUACCUUCAGUGUCCAUCUUCCACCUCCCGGUCCAUGCUAAUAACAAUCCUCUUGCAUUUAAAUUUGAGUUUUACCCGGGCUCAAGUGAUAUGCACGUUAUGAAAGGGCGAGAGUGGACAACCUGAUCUGCUUCAGUGGUGACGAAGAAUAAAGGUCUCAAGCUUCUAUUUUAUCCAAUGGCAUUUUCUAUGUUCUUCUUAUAUUGAUGUUCAGGCCAGAUCCCACCAGACUUUGCUUUACUUUGUAGUUAUCAUGAGAGAGAUGAUCGAGUUGGGCUCGGACGUUGCUGGCCGCCGGCUUGGUCUGCAAGAGGACUUUCCCCUGCCGCGGCAGGCCAUGGAGAGAGGUGACCAAGUGAUUGACUCUAGGGCCGCCGUGGUGGUGCUCGUGGUGCCCGACGCCUGCUGCGGCGCGCUCAUUGGCAAAGCAAUGAGAUGCGUUAGGGUUUAUUCUCCUGAUUGGUGGUUGGUAGUGCUCUUCUGCCGACAAUGAAUAGGUUGUUGCUCUUGAGGAUGGGUCGACCACGUUGCUUCCUUGCACAGACUUUCCUCAUGGAUUGAAGUCCUAAACUCCACAAUUACCCCAUGGUUUUUGGCUUGGAGGACUUGGUUUUGUUGGGGGGUAUGCUUCCUCUCACCCGGAUCAGGUUGCCACGCCGCUGGAUGAGUCAGCUGCUUUUUUGAUUUUAUUCCCAC